GGUUAAGCGACUAAGCGUACACGGUGGAUGCCCUGGCAGUCAGAGGCGAUGAAGGACGUGCUAAUCUGCGAUAAGCGUCGGUAAGGUGAUAUGAACCGUUAUAACCGGCGAUUUCCGAAUGGGGAAACCCAGUGUGUUUCGACACACUAUCAUUAACUGAAUCCAUAGGUUAAUGAGGCGAACCGGGGGAACUGAAACAUCUAAGUACCCCGAGGAAAAGAAAUCAACCGAGAUUCCCCCAGUAGCGGCGAGCGAACGGGGAGCAGCCCAGAGCCUGAAUCAGUGUGUGUGUUAGUGGAAGCGUCUGGAAAGGCGCGCGAUACAGGGUGACAGCCCCGUACACAAAAAUGCACAUGCUGUGAGCUCGAUGAGUAGGGCGGGACACGUGGUAUCCUGUCUGAAUAUGGGGGGACCAUCCUCCAAGGCUAAAUACUCCUGACUGACCGAUAGUGAACCAGUACCGUGAGGGAAAGGCGAAAAGAACCCCGGCGAGGGGAGUGAAAAAGAACCUGAAACCGUGUACGUACAAGCAGUGGGAGCACGCUUAGGCGUGUGACUGCGUACCUUUUGUAUAAUGGGUCAGCGACUUAUAUUCUGUAGCAAGGUUAACCGAAUAGGGGAGCCGAAGGGAAACCGAGUCUUAACUGGGCGUUAAGUUGCAGGGUAUAGACCCGAAACCCGGUGAUCUAGCCAUGGGCAGGUUGAAGGUUGGGUAACACUAACUGGAGGACCGAACCGACUAAUGUUGAAAAAUUAGCGGAUGACUUGUGGCUGGGGGUGAAAGGCCAAUCAAACCGGGAGAUAGCUGGUUCUCCCCGAAAGCUAUUUAGGUAGCGCCUCGUGAAUUCAUCUCCGGGGGUAGAGCACUGUUUCGGCAAGGGGGUCAUCCCGACUUACCAACCCGAUGCAAACUGCGAAUACCGGAGAAUGUUAUCACGGGAGACACACGGCGGGUGCUAACGUCCGUCGUGAAGAGGGAAACAACCCAGACCGCCAGCUAAGGUCCCAAAGUCAUGGUUAAGUGGGAAACGAUGUGGGAAGGCCCAGACAGCCAGGAUGUUGGCUUAGAAGCAGCCAUCAUUUAAAGAAAGCGUAAUAGCUCACUGGUCGAGUCGGCCUGCGCGGAAGAUGUAACGGGGCUAAACCAUGCACCGAAGCUGCGGCAGCGACGCUUAUGCGUUGUUGGGUAGGGGAGCGUUCUGUAAGCCUGUGAAGGUGUGCUGUGAGGCAUGCUGGAGGUAUCAGAAGUGCGAAUGCUGACAUAAGUAACGAUAAAGCGGGUGAAAAGCCCGCUCGCCGGAAGACCAAGGGUUCCUGUCCAACGUUAAUCGGGGCAGGGUGAGUCGACCCCUAAGGCGAGGCCGAAAGGCGUAGUCGAUGGGAAACAGGUUAAUAUUCCUGUACUUGGUGUUACUGCGAAGGGGGGACGGAGAAGGCUAUGUUGGUCGGGCGACGGUUGUCCCGGUUUAAGCGUGUAGGCUGGUUUUCCAGGCAAAUCCGGAAAAUCAAGGCUGAGGCGUGAUGACGAGGCACUACGGUGCUGAAGCAACAAAUGCCCUGCUUCCAGGAAAAGCCUCUAAGCAUCAGGUAACAUCAAAUCGUACCCCAAACCGACACAGGUGGUCAGGUAGAGAAUACCAAGGCGCUUGAGAGAACUCGGGUGAAGGAACUAGGCAAAAUGGUGCCGUAACUUCGGGAGAAGGCACGCUGAUAUGUAGGUGAAGUCCCUUGCGGAUGGAGCUGAAAUCAGUCGAAGAUACCAGCUGGCUGCAACUGUUUAUUAAAAACACAGCACUGUGCAAACACGAAAGUGGACGUAUACGGUGUGACGCCUGCCCGGUGCCGGAAGGUUAAUUGAUGGGGUCAGCGCAAGCGAAGCUCUUGAUCGAAGCCCCGGUAAACGGCGGCCGUAACUAUAACGGUCCUAAGGUAGCGAAAUUCCUUGUCGGGUAAGUUCCGACCUGCACGAAUGGCGUAAUGAUGGCCAGGCUGUCUCCACCCGAGACUCAGUGAAAUUGAACUCGCUGUGAAGAUGCAGUGUACCCGCGGCAAGACGGAAAGACCCCGUGAACCUUUACUAUAGCUUGACACUGAACAUUGAGCCUUGAUGUGUAGGAUAGGUGGGAGGCUUUGAAGUGUGGACGCCAGUCUGCAUGGAGCCGACCUUGAAAUACCACCCUUUAAUGUUUGAUGUUCUAACGUUGACCCGUAAUCCGGGUUGCGGACAGUGUCUGGUGGGUAGUUUGACUGGGGCGGUCUCCUCCUAAAGAGUAACGGAGGAGCACGAAGGUUGGCUAAUCCUGGUCGGACAUCAGGAGGUUAGUGCAAUGGCAUAAGCCAGCUUGACUGCGAGCGUGACGGCGCGAGCAGGUGCGAAAGCAGGUCAUAGUGAUCCGGUGGUUCUGAAUGGAAGGGCCAUCGCUCAACGGAUAAAAGGUACUCCGGGGAUAACAGGCUGAUACCGCCCAAGAGUUCAUAUCGACGGCGGUGUUUGGCACCUCGAUGUCGGCUCAUCACAUCCUGGGGCUGAAGUAGGUCCCAAGGGUAUGGCUGUUCGCCAUUUAAAGUGGUACGCGAGCUGGGUUUAGAACGUCGUGAGACAGUUCGGUCCCUAUCUGCCGUGGGCGCUGGAGAACUGAGGGGGGCUGCUCCUAGUACGAGAGGACCGGAGUGGACGCAUCACUGGUGUUCGGGUUGUCAUGCCAAUGGCACUGCCCGGUAGCUAAAUGCGGAAGAGAUAAGUGCUGAAAGCAUCUAAGCACGAAACUUGCCCCGAGAUGAGUUCUCCCUGACCCUUUAAGGGUCCUGAAGGAACGUUGAAGACGACGACGUUGAUAGGCCGGGUGUGUAAGCGCAGCGAUGCGUUGAGCUAACCGGUACUAAUGAACCGUGAGGCUUAACCUU
rnacentral:rRNA from 1 species